rnacentral:rRNA from 1 species
AGCUCAAAUAGCGUAUAUUAAAGUUGUUGCAGUUGAAAAGCUCGUAGUUGGAUUUCAGGAUCAGAGAGAUCGGUCCGCCGUCAAGGUGUGUACUGGUCUUCUCUAUCCUCACUAUGGGAUACUCACCUCUGCCCUUAACUGAGUGGAGGUCAAAGGCAUGGUGUAGGGGGCAACUUCUGCAUCAUGUUGAGUUCUCAUUCAUUUACUUUGAAUAAAACUGCAUGCUCAAAGUAGGCAUAAAGGGCCGCUGAAAGCAAAAGCAUGGGAUAAUAGAACAGGACUUGUGUCCUCGUUUUGUUGGUUUCUAGGACAUGAGUAAUGAUUAAGAGGGAUAGUUGGGGGCAUUAGUAUUUAAUUGUCAGAGGUGAAAUUCUUGGAUUUAUGAAAGACUAACUUCUGCGAAAGCAUUUGCCAAGGAUGUUUUCA